rnacentral:rRNA from 1 species
CAGUAGCCGCGGGAAUACGUAGGGUGCGAGCGUUAAUCGGAAUUACUGGGCGUAAAGGGCGUUUAGGCGGCCUGGGGCGUCCCAUGUGAAAGGCCACGGCUCAACCGUGGAGGAGCGUGGGAUACGCUCAGGCUAGAGGGUGGGAGAGGGUGGUGGAAUUCCCGGAGUAGCGGUGAAAUGCGCAGAUACCGGGAGGAACGCCGAUGGCGAAGGCAGCCACCUGGUCCACUUCUGACGCUGAGGCGCGAAAGCGUGGGGAGCAAACCGGAUUAGAUACCCGAGUAGUCCCUGUCUCUUAUAC